rnacentral:misc_RNA from 1 species
AAGUCGUAACAAGGUUUCCGUAGGUGAACCUGCGGAAGGAUCAUUAAAGAAUUAGGCUUCGCGGCCAAGUUUCUCACCCUUUUGUACCAGCAAGCAAUGCAUUGUCGCUUUUGGGCAGGGCCCCCUGCAUUUUCUCGGGCCUGCCAGAGGUUAUAAACCCUAGAAUCUCUGCUGUCUGAGUACUAUACAAUAGUUAAAA